rnacentral:rRNA from 1 species
AGAGUUUGAUCCUGGCUCAGGACGAACGCUGGCGGCGUGCCUAAUACAUGCAAGUCGAACGGAGAUAUUCGCUGAUGAAGUACUUCGGUAAUGAAUCUUGGAUAUCUUAGUGGCGGACGGGUGAGUAACGCGUGAGCAACCUGCCUUUCAGAGGGGGAUAACGUUUGGAAACGAACGCUAAUACCGCAUGACAUUAUCUUAUCGCAUGGUAGGAUAAUCAAAGGAGCAAUCCGCUGAAAGAUGGGCUCGCGUCCGAUUAGGUAGUUGGUGGGGUAACGGCCCACCAAGCCGACGAUCGGUAGCCGGACUGAGAGGUUGGACGGCCACAUUGGGACUGAGACACGGCCCAGACUCCUACGGGAGGCAGCAGUAAGGGAUAUUGGUCAAUGGGGGAAACCCUGAACCAGCAACGCCGCGUGAGGGAAGACGGUUUUCGGAUUGUAAACCUCUGUCCUCUGUGAAGAUGAUGACGGUAGCAGAGGAGGAAGCUCCGGCUAACUACGUG